AACGCACCUUGCGCCCCUUGGCAUUCCGAGGGGCACACCCGUUUGAGUGUCGUGAAAUUCUCAAAACCCUUUUCUUUUGAAGAGGAUUUUGGACUUGGAGGCUUUUUGCUGGUUUCGCACAGAAGCGAGCUCCUCCUAAAUGGAUUAGUGGGGUCUGCUUUGCCGAUCCUUGACGUGAUAAGAUGUUUCUACGUCUUGGGUUUGGCACCGCACCUGCUUCUAACCGUCUCAUCGACAAUGAUGGCGUUCCGGUCACCACCGUUUCAUCGGUGGGAGGCUUGACCCACCAAAAAAACCUUGACCUCAAAUCGGGUGAGACUACCCGCUGAACUUAA
rnacentral:misc_RNA from 1 species